UAGGGAAUCUUCCACAAUGGGCGCAAGCCUGAUGGAGCAACACCGCGUGAGUGAAGAAGGGUUUCGGCUCGUAAAGCUCUGUUGUUAGAGAAGAACGUGCGUGAGAGCAACUGUUCACGCAGUGACGGUAUCUAACCAGAAAGUCACGGCUAACUACGUGCCAGCAGCCGCGGUAAUACGUAGGUGGCAAGCGUUAUCCGGAUUUAUUGGGCGUAAAGCGAGCGCAGGCGGUUUGAUAAGUCUGAUGUGAAAGCCUUUGGCUUAACCAAAGAAGUGCAUCGGAAACUGUCAGACUUGAGUGCAGAAGAGGACAGUGGAACUCCAUGUGUAGCGGUGGAAUGCGUAGAUAUAUGGAAGAACACCAGUGGCGAAGGCGGCUGUCUGGUCUGCAGCUGACGCUGAGGCUCGAAAGCAUGGGUAGCGAACAGG
rnacentral:rRNA from 1 species